rnacentral:rRNA from 1 species
UACGAAGGGGGCUAGCGUUGUUCGGAAUUACUGGGCGUAAAGCGCGCGCAGGCGGCUAUCCAAGUCAGUGGUGAAAGCCCGGAGCUCAACUCCGGAACUGCCAUUGAAACUGUUUAGCUUGAGGAUGAGAGAGGUGAGUGGAAUUCCCAGUGUAGAGGUGAAAUUCGUAGAUAUUGGGAAGAACACCGGUGGCGAAGGCGGCACUCUGGGACGGUACUGACGCUGAGACGCGAAAGCGUGGGGAGCGAACAGG